UUUUAAGUUGAAGAAAACAGAUCAGGGACAGCCGAGACGUCUCCGGUUUGUCCCAGAGACGUCUCUGGCACAAACAGGAAGAACUGGCACGUCGGAAGACGUCCCCGGCACCUGGCGAGGCGUCUCGCAGGGUCGGAGUCGACUCUCUCAGUAGCGGAGUCGACUCUCUCAGUGGCGGCAGAAAGGCNNNNNNNNNNNNNNNNNNNNNNNNNNNNNNNACAGAACGCGGAGUCGUCCCCGCAAGUAAAAAGCAGACUUCCCGAGUCGUCCCCGAGGUAGCGGAGUCGACUCUCUCAGGGUUUUCUAGAGGAUGUCUUUUUCAGUGAUAAGGCAGCGGAGACGUCCCCUGAAAGAGCGGAGUCGACUCUCUCAAAGAAUUCUAGAAGACAUAUUUUUUGGAGAUAUAACGGCGGAGUCGUCCCCAAGGCAGCGGAGUCGUCCCCAUGCAAAAAGCGCAAACAAGCCGAGACGUCCCCGUAAAGCGCCGAGGCGACCCUCUCAGAAAAACAGAAAAACAAGGAUUCAAACCGUUCAUCAUCGGAGUCGCCCCCGUAAUGCGCCGAGUCGACCCCAAACAUCGUCAAAAGUAAAAUCUUACAGCCGAGACGUCUCGCGAUGAAGCGGAGACGUCUCCGGAGCACCUGGGACGCGACUGACAACUUUUGCAGGUUUGGUUUGAAUUUCAAAUCUCUUUAACUUUAUCUCUAACGGCUAUAUUUGCUUUUUGGGCUAUAAAAGGGAGUUCUUAAGUGCUUUCCAACAACUCCUUACCAAUCCAACACAAGAUCAUUCAAG
rnacentral:lncRNA from 1 species